rnacentral:rRNA from 1 species
UUUCCUCAGUAACGGCGAGUGAAGCGGCAACAGCUCAAAUUUGAAAUCUGGCCCCAGGCCCGAGUUGUAAUUUGCAGAGGAUGCUUUUGGUGCGGUGCCUUCCAAGUUCCCUAGAACGGGACGCCAGAGAGGGUGAGAGCCCCGUACAGUUGGACACCAAGCCUUUGUAAAGCUCCUUCGACGAGUCGAGUAGUUUGGGAAUGCUGCUCAAAAUGGGAGGUAUAUUUCUUCUAAAGCUAAAUACCGGCCAGAGACCGAUAGCGCACAAGUAGAGUGAUCGAAAGAUGAAAAGCACUUUGAAAAGAGGGUUAAACAGCACGUGAAAUUGUUAAAAGGGAAGCGCUUGUGACCAGACUUGCGUCCGGUGAAUCACCCAGCUCUCGCGGCUGGGGCACUUCGCCGGCUCAGGCCAGCAUCAGCUCGCUGUCGGGGACAAAAGCUUCAGGAACGUAGCUCUCUUCGGGGAGUGUUAUAGCCUGUUGCACAACACCCUUCGGCGGGCUGAGGUACGCGCUCCGCAAGGAUGCUGGCAUAAUGGUCAUCAGCGACCCG